rnacentral:rRNA from 1 species
GACGAACGCUGGCGGCGUGCUUAACACAUGCAAGUCGAACGGUAAGGCCCUUCGGGGUACACGAGUGGCGAACGGGUGAGUAACACGUGGGUGAUCUGACCUGCACUUCGGGAUAAGCCUGGGCAACUGGGUCUAAUACCGGAUAGGACUCCGGACUGCAUGGUCUGGGGUGGAAAGCUUUUGUGGUGUGGGAUGGAGCUGCGGCCUAUCAGCUUGUUGGAGGGGUGAUGGCCUAGCAAGGCGACGACGGGUAGCCGGCCGGAGAGGGUGACGUGCAGCACUGGGACUGAGAGACGGCCCAGACUCCUACGGGGGGCAGGAGUGGGGAAUAUUGCACAAUGGGCGAAAGGCUGAUGCAGCGACGCCGAGUGAGGGAUGACGGCCUUCGGGUUGUAAACCUCUUUCAGCAUCGACGAAGCGAAAGUGACGGUAGGUGCUGAAGAAGGACCGGCCAACUACGUGCCAGCCGCCGCGGUAA